rnacentral:rRNA from 1 species
UACGGGGGGAGCAAGCGUUGUUCGGAUUUACUGGGCGUAAAGGGCGCGUAGGCGGCCAGCACAAGUCAGUUGUGAAAUCUCCGAGCUUAACUCGGAAAGGUCAACUGACACUGUGCGGCUAGAGUGCGGAAGGGGCAACUGGAAUUCUUGGUGUAGCGGUGAAAUGCGUAGAUAUCAAGAGGAACACCUGCGGCGAAGGCGGGUUGCUGGGCAGACACUGACGCUGAGGCGCGAAAGCCAGGGGAGCGAACGGG